CAAAUAGGUAUUGUAAGAAGUUUCCUUUAUGAGGUGUGAAAAGAAAUAAGGAAAAGACCCAUUUUUUUUAUUUAUUAUUAUUUAUGAAAUGAUAUAGGAAUUUAUCAAGACAAUUAUAAAAGAAGAGAAUAGGAAACUAUAGAUCAUUCCACCCUAGAGUAUUCGGCCAACCCAUUAUAAGUAGAAAAGAAAGAAAAGUUGUUAUUCCUUUUCAUCACACCAAGCCACUAGCCCAUAUAGUUGUAUAGGGAGAGUAACGUGGGGAAGGAGGACAAGAACAAGGGUUGUUCAAUUGUGUAAAGAACUAGAGGUGACAAGGUUUUCUUGCUAGAGUGUUCUUGAUUCAACAAUCAAGAGAGGUGUGUAACAAGGUGAUGGGGUCCGCGGCUUGGGUCGUGUGACAGGGAGGCUUGACUCGUGGGUCUACGGCGUGGCUCGCUCGUGGGUGCGACGGGGCUUGCGGCGGUGGGUCUACGGCGUGGGUGCGGCGGUGCUUGAGCUCACGAUCUCCGAGUAUAUCUUCCAUGGAAGCCGAAGAAGAUUGACAGAUGGAGCUAGCUCGGUGGUUAGUGAUCUGCCCAUUUUUCUUAAGAAUCCAAGCCCACCAAAAUCAUCCUUCAAUGAGGAAAGGAUACACAGACUUCUAUUGUUGUCACCGGAUGACUCUUAUAGAAAAAUGUGCACUGCAAUUAGUAUGGCUAUUGCAACGAUUGCACUUCAAUAUUGGCCUGACUUGUUGCCAUAUCUCCUGAAGUUAAUUAAUGACCAGACAAAUAGGGAUGGAGUUCAUGGAGCUUUGAGGUGCUUGGCUCUUCUCUCUGAUGACUUGGACGAUAAAGUGAUGCCCACAUUAGUACCUAUUUUGUUCCCAUGCUUGCUUACUAUUGUUUCAUCCACUCAGGUUUGUUUGUGUUAUAUUUUGGUUCCCAUUUUGGCAGCUCUUUAGAAUCCUAUAUUAAGUGUAUUUUGAUGUUUUUUAAUUUUAAUUUAAUUUUAUUUUUUAAGGGGUGUUAUUUAAGGAAAUUUGAAAUAAGCAUAAAUAGUCAAUUAUGCUUUUGAGUUCACAUUAGUAUUUGCACAUGUGCAUAACAAUGUUAAUUUUGAGUCAUUUGCUUUAUUAAACAAAUGAGUGAGGUAAAGAGGCCAAAUGAAUGAGAAUUUUAUGUCAAAACUUCGCGAGGAAUUUGAUGGUUCAAGUAAAAGUUUAAAUUGCUUACCAAAUGACUGAAUCGUACUUGCAUUUUUGUCUGUUUGCAAUCUCUGGGCAUCUUAUUUAUUUCUUUAGCUAAAGGUGGGUAAUAUGCAUAGUGAUUAGUAGUUGUCUCAGAAGCGUAAUCUAUUAUAAAGUGAGCAAAGUUAAGUCUAUACUCCGACACAACACUCCCUUUUCUUGUGUGAGCUGAACAGUAGGUAAAUUCAUUUGAAAUAUUAAUUGGCAACACUUAACAAUCAAUAUAUUACGAUAUGCUCUAGAAAGAUUUGAAAGCUAAAUGCAUGGGGUAAUUCCUUAAAGAUUAAUUUAUGGGUUUGAUUUUCAUUUAUGUUGUCCAUGUUAUUUCUUAAUUUGUUUAAAGAUGAUGGCUAUUCUUUGCUAAUCAUCAAUUUUCUUAAGAAAAAAUCAUGAUUUACAACGAGUAUUUACAUGAUUUUGUUAUGUAGAAAUGAAAAUGAAUUUUUAUGCUGAUGAUUUUUUUCCCUGUGCUCUCUGAUUUAUUUCCUUUAAAAGAUUAUCAUGGAUUGUGCUAGAGUUAAUGAACUAUUAUUUGGUGGCUUGCAUAAAUAGUUUCCAUUAUUUGUGGGCAGAAGGCUCCAUUUUUUUUGUUGUUGCAAUUGUCAUUGAACAUUAUAGUGUUGACAUGCUAGUGGUAUUCAUUGUUAAAGUUUUGUUCUCUACAUUCUUAGUUUCUGGUUGAUAGAAGGAAAACCAUAUUACACUGAGUUCCACUUUAUCUUCUAUUGUACGGUUUGUUUGUGGAGGUGUAUGACAAAUAUUUACGUGCAAAAGAUCUUUCAAUUAUUUAUUCUUGUAUCUCCAUGCUGGGUGCAAUGAGUGGUGUUUAUAGGGUAUUUUCUUCAUUAUGUUUUAAUUAUUGCCCAUUGAUGUGAUUUGGAUGAUUGAAUUAUAUAUUACAUUAAAAAAUAACACUUAUUUAAAAGUGCUAUUAAUAAGCAAUUAAAAAAACACACAACCCCAUAUGUGAAAUUUCAUUUGGCGCCAUAUGAAAUAUAUAACUAGGCGCCAAAUGAAAAUAAGAGACACGGAAGAACACAGUAAACUAGUCUCAGCCUCCGAACCCCUAAGCCUCCAUUGAAUCCCUAAUUUCUAGUUUCAUCUCUUUGCCUCUCUUUCUUUCUUUCUUUCGUCUCUUUGCCUCUCUUUGCUUCUCUUUGCUUCUCUUUCUUUCUGGUUUCCUAGUCUCUUUCUUUGCUUCUCAGCUUCUCUUUCUUGCUUCUCAGCUUCUCUUUCUUUCUCUUUUUUUUUCGUCUACACAACCACGUUAUUCUCCUCCACUCACUCUCAUCUACACAACCACUCACUCACUAAUUUAUGGUUUCGUCUCGUCAUUCUCUGCCUCACGCGAGUCUCUGGAGCACACGACGUCGGUGAGAGCUUCCGGAGUACACAACGGAGGUCAUUUUUCUGGUUGUCUCGUCUAUCUCUGUCUCACAUAAUGAUUCUCCCCUGCUGGAAGCAAGAACAUCAUUGUGAGGCACUUAUUUUUGCGAAAGAAUUAGCUAUGCCUGGAAAUGGACAGAAAGAGUCAAAUUUGAGCAAGAAAAACGCUCACAAACUCAAUGAUUUAUAAGGUCGUUGAGCAUGGUCUGGGACAUCUGCCAUUUACAGAAAAAUAGGUGGUCACUCCAACUGAAAAUAGGGCUGCAAUGGAAGCUGAGAGAAGAGAAGCAAAAGAGGCUGCUGAAAGGGAGGCCAAUGAAGCGUCAAGCCAGGCUGCUGUUCAGAAGGAAGCUUUAGGAUUGCAAACUAAAGCCAAAACCAAGGAAUCUGAAUUUGAAAAACCAAUAAAUUCAGCAUCAGCAGGGGAUAUUGGUGGUAGGUGACAUUACUAAAGCUGCAGAAGCUGCACUAAAGUUGGAGCAUGAAAGAUUAAAAAAGUUGGAAGACUUGGAUGAAGGAAACAAGGCAUUAGGAUUGAAUGUAAAUAAGGAGGUUUCUACUGGUGUGAAAAAGUUAUUGAGGGAAUCGUCUGGCCAGUACAGCGACUUCAAUAUUCUUUCCUCUUUAAAUUCUUAGGUGUGUAGAUGUGACUGGAGCUUACAGUGCUCUAAAGACGGAGCUUAACAUAAGCUUGACAGCAAUAGGCCUUUUGUGGACUACAACUGGCUUUAUUGCAAAGAGGAUUACACAUGGACCUGUGGAAGAAAGGGAAUCAGGUAUAUGACAAGUGCACAACAAAUGGACUCACAACAAAGACAAGUGCACAAAGGAUGAUGAAUUGAAGGAUGGAGCAAGUUUCAUGCAUGGUUUACUUUUGUGUAUCUUGUAAUUUUUUGUUUUUCAUUUUUGAAGUAAAAAAUGUUCAAGAUUAUAAAACUUUAUUAUGUUAUGCUUUCAAACUUAAGUUAGAACUAAGAUCUCAUGAAAUAGACACAUUCAGAGUUUGAAUUAGUUAUUGUUUAA